GAUGAACGCUGGCGGCGUGCCUAAUACAUGCAAGUCGAGCGAACAGACGAGGAGCUUGCUCCUCUGACGUUAGCGGCGGACGUGUGAGUAACACGUGGAUAACCUACCUAUAAGACUGGGAUAACUUCGGGAAACCGGCUCUAAUACCGGAUAAUAUAUUGAACCGCAUGGUUCAAUAGUGAAAGACGGUUUUGCUGUCUCUUAUAGAUGGAUCCGCGCCGCAUUAGCUAGUUGGUAAGGUAACGGCUUACCAAGGCAACGAUGCGUAGCCGACCUGAGAGGGGGGUCGGCCACACUGGAGCGGGAACACGGUCAAGACUCCUACGGUAGGCAGCAGUAGGGAAUCUUCCGCAAUGGGCGGAAGCUUGGCGGAGCGACGCGGCGUGAGAGAUGAAGGUGUUCGGAUCGUGAAACUCGGUUAUUAGGGAAGAACAAAUGUGUAAGUAACUGUGCACGUAUUGACGGUACCUAAUCAGAAAGCCACGGCUAACUACGUG
rnacentral:rRNA from 1 species